CCCAAUGUGCUGUAGCAGGUAUUUACAUAUGACAAGUAUGUAUUCUGCAUAAUAAUAAUAAUAAUAAUAAUAAUAAUAAUAAUAAUAAUAAUAUAUUUAUUUAUGACAUACAGGUAGUACACAACUUGCAGUGAUAGCUGGUUUUUCCCAAUUUCUAGUUGUGUACCAGAUAAACGUUGCAUAACUUAAAGUUACUUAACCAAAUUAUUAUAGUAAACAAGUUUUGUUAGAGAACUGAACACUCAUUUUAUUCUACUUGUGUACCAGAUAAACGUUGCAUAACUUAAGUUACCUAACCAAAUUAUUAUACUUCAUCUGUUCAAUAAAGGAUGUCUCAAUUUUGACUAAAUUUAAAUGUAUCUAUGCACUAAGUUAUGUCUAGAUAUAUCCAAAUUUUGACAAACUUAGACAUCUUUUGUUGGACAGAAGGAGUAGUAAACAAGUUUUGUUAGAGAACUGAACACUCGUUUUAAUUUCUUUUCGCGAAAACUAAAAUAGAAUUUUAAAAAAAGAGCAAAGCACACCAUGUCGGUGUGCAGGAUAUGAUAUGAGGAUUAGCUAGAUUACUCAAGCAGCAACCACAUGAGCAACUAAGUUUGGCUGGUGAGUCCUAUCUAUUAUAAUUAUCCAUCCCUAGAUGACUCAAACCAGCCCGCCACAUGUGUAACUAGGUUGACUGGUUGAAGCAUCUAAGCACGCUCAUGUCAUGUAUCCAAGAUUAUAUUGAUUCAGCUUUAAGAUUUUGCUUACCACAUAUGCCAGGUGGUGGUCAAUGGGUCCGGACGCCACAUUUUAAACAGCCGCAAACCUACUUAGCUUAGCCGUGUGGUACUAAUUUUCGAGAUCUUUAUCACGAGUUUAAAAACAAUCGAGAUCUUCGUCCGCCUCCGCCUCCAACGGACUGGGAUCGCAGGAACGGCACGAUUCAGCACACGCGCGGAAGGACCGGGACGGGACAAAACUUGGCGGGCUUCUAGCCGAAACUGCGGACUACGCGGGCUCUCCUCCUCCUCCGCCGCCGCCCGUCGCGGGAGAGGGGAGCAAGCUCCGCCGUCCGCCCCUGGCUCCUCCGCCCCCGCUCCAACGGGCUCCUCCGCCCCCGCUCGGACGACCUCGUCUGCCCCCGCUCCGACGGCCUCCUCCACCCCGCCUCGCCCCGCGUCGCCACUCUCCGCUCCGAGUCCGACGGCAUACUCUGCUCCGCCCCUCCUCGCCAGCGGCGACCCCUCCUCCAAUCGCAGCGGCCGUCGACGACCAGUCCCCUCUCUGCCGUCGGACGCCAGCGACCAUCCAGUCCAUCCUCUAACAGCAGCAGGUUCCAAAGAAAAGAAAUUGCCGCAGAAUCCCACGCAGGGAGAAGCUCAAGCUCUGGAGAACCCGAGGCUUUGGCCGUAGUGAACUGAAGAGUUCUUGAAUGUUAUGUAAUUCAUCAACCGGGAAACCCAGCGAACGCAGAGAAUUGCAAAAUGCUCCACAGUUUCAGAGGUGUUGCAACCAUAAGGACAAACGUCCUGAUCAAUAACAGUCUGCCGCUCGAACUUUGAUUCUUCCCUUGAGAGAAAGCUAAUCGAAAAUUUUACAUUUUUAGGGCUGAACUUUGCCAAAUGUUAUUUUUUUACAAUUUUUAGGAGCUGAACUUUGCCAAAUAGGAGCUGAACUUUGCAAGCUUUUCAAUUGUUCAGAUUUUGCUUGUAUAAUCUGUUCUCGUAAUACAUCAGUUUAGUUUUGAUUGAUGCAAACAUGUC